UACGGAGGGAGCUAGCGUUGUUCGGAAUUACUGGGCGUAAAGCGCACGUAGGCGGCUUUGUAAGUUAGAGGUGAAAGCCCGGGGCUCAACCCCGGAAUUGCCUUUAAGACUGCAUCGCUUGAAUCCGGGAGAGGUGAGUGGAAUUCCGAGUGUAGAGGUGAAAUUCGUAGAUAUUCGGAAGAACACCAGUGGCGAAGGCGGCUCACUGGACCGGUAUUGACGCUGAGGUGCGAAAGCGUGGGGAGCAAACAGGAUUGAGAU
rnacentral:rRNA from 1 species